UACGAAGGGGGCUGGCGUUGCUCGGAAUCACUGGGCGUAAAGGGUGCGUAGGCGGGUCUUUAAGUCAGGGGUGAAAUCCUGGAGCUCAACUCCAGAACUGCCUUUGAUACUGAAGAUCUUGAGUUCGGGAGAGGUGAGUGGAACUGCGAGUGUAGAGGUGAAAUUCGUAGAUAUUCGCAAGAACACCAGUGGCGAAGGCGGCUCACUGGCCCGGUACUGACGCUGAGGUGCGAAGGCGUGGGGGAGCAAACAGG
rnacentral:rRNA from 1 species